rnacentral:rRNA from 1 species
GACGAACGCUGGCGGCGUGCUUAACACAUGCAAGUCGAACGGAAAGGCCUCUUUCGGGGGGUACUCGAGUGGCGAACGGGUGAGUAACACGUGAGUAACCUGCCCUUGACUUUGGGGUAACUUCAGGAAACUGGGGCUAAUACCGGAUAGGAGCUCCUGCUGCAUGGUGGGGGUUGGAAAGUUUCGGCGGUUGGGGAUGGACUCGCGGCUUAUCAGCUUGUUGGUGGGGUAGUGGCUUACCAAGGCUUUGACGGGUAGCCGGCCUGAGAGGGUGACCGGCCACAUUGGGACUGAGAUACGACCCAGACUCCUACGGGAGGCAGCAGUGGGGAAUAUUGCACAAUGGGUGGAAGCCUGAUGCAGCAACGCCGUGUGCGGGAUGACGGCCUUCGGGUUGUAAACCGCUUUCGCUCAUGACGAAGCUUUGUGUGACGGUAGUGGGUAAAGAAGCACCGGCUAACUACGUG